rnacentral:rRNA from 1 species
ACGCUCGACACCUACGGAGGCAGCAGUGGGGAAUAUUGCACAAUGGGGGAAACCCUGAUGCAGCGACGCCGCGUGGAGGAAGAAGGUCUUCGGAUUGUAAACUCCUGUUGUUGGGGAAAAAGAGGAUGGUACCCAACAAGGAAGUGACGGCUAACUACGUGCCGGCAGCCACGGUAAUCUGAGCGGGCUGGCAAGGC